rnacentral:misc_RNA from 1 species
AUUAAAAUGAGUCUAAUUUUAAAAAGAUUAUAACAAUUGAAGAUCGACUUAGUUUUAAAAAUUUAGAGACUCAAAUAUAAUAAAAAAAAUCUCAUUAUUUUAUAAAAUGUAUUAAAAUGCAAUGUUAGCGAUUAGCAAAUGAUAAUAAAAUAUAAUUUUAGCAAAUGGAAGAAAUAAAAAUGCUAAAUUUAAAACAAGAACCUAAGCGUAAUUUUUUAUAAAAUUUUUAAGUAACUUAUUGUA